GAUGAAGAACGUAGCGAAAUGCGAUAAGUAAUGUGAAUUGCAGAAUUCAGUGAAUCAUCGAAUCUUUGAACGCACAUUGCGCCCGCCAGUAUUCUGGCGGGCAUGCCUGUCCGAGCGUCAUUUCAACCCUCAGGCCCUGGUUGCCUGGUGUUGGGGCGCCGCGCACCCUCUGCGGGCGCGGGCCCCGAAAGUCAGUGGCGGGCUCGCCAGGACUCCGAGCGCAGUAAUUUUCUCUCGCUGUGGAGCGCCUGGUGGGUUACCAGCCGUAAAACACCCCAAAUUCUAAAGGUUGACCUCGGAUCAGGUAGGAAUACCCGCUGAACUUAAGCAUAUCAGUAAGCGGAGGA
rnacentral:misc_RNA from 1 species